rnacentral:rRNA from 1 species
UUGACCUCAAAUCAGGUAGGACUACCCGCUGAACUUAAGCAUAUCAAUAAGCGGAGGAAAAGAAACUAACAAGGAUUCCCUUAGUAACGGCGAGUGAACAGGGAAAAGCUCAAAUUUUAAAUCUGGCGGCCUUACGGUCGUCCGAGUUGUAAUCUAGAGAAGUGUUUUCCGCGCUGGACCGUGUACAAGUCCUUUGGAACAAGGCGUCAUAGAGGGUGAGAAUCCCGUCUACGACACGGACUACCAGUGCUUUGUGAUACACUCUCAACGAGUCGAGUUGUUUGGGAAUGCAGCUCAAAAUGGGUGGUAAAUUCCAUCUAAAGCUAAAUACAGGCGAAAGACCGAUAGCGAACAAGUACCGUGAGGGAAAGAUGAAAAGCACUUUGGAAAGAGAGUUAAACAGUACGUGAAAUUGUUGAAAGGGAAACGCUUGAAGUCAGUCGCGUCUUCAGAAACUCAGCCUAGCUUUUUUGCUUGGUGUACUUUUCUGUAAGACGGGCCAGCGUCAGUUUUGGCUGUCAGAAAAAGGUGAGAGGAAGGUGGCACCUCCGGGUGUGUUAUAGCCUCUCAUCGUAUGUGACGACCGGGACUGAGGACCGCAGCACGCCUUUAUGGCCGGGGUUCGCCCACGUAACGUGCUUAGGAUGCUGGCGUAAUGGC